rnacentral:rRNA from 1 species
GAUGAACGCUGGCGGCGUGCCUAAUACAUGCAAGUAGAACGCUGAAGGAGGAGCUUGCUCUUCUGGAUGAGUUGCGAACGGGUGAGUAACGCGUAGGUAACCUGCCUGGUAGCGGGGGAUAACUAUUGGAAACGAUAGCUAAUACCGCAUGACAACAGUUAUUGCAUGAUAACUGUUUAAAAGGGGCAACUGCUCCACUACCAGAUGGACCUGCGUUGUAUUAGCUAGUUGGUGAGGUAACGGCUCACCAAGGCGACGAUACAUAGCCGACCUGAGAGGGUGAUCGGCCACACUGGGACUGAGACACGGCCCAGACUCCUACGGGAAGCAGCAGUAGGGGAACUUCGGCAAUGGACGGAAGUCUGACCGAGCAACGCCGCGUGAGUGAAGAAGGUUUUCGGAUCGUAAAGCUCUGUUGUAAGAGAAGAACGAGUGUGAGAGUGGAAAGUUCACACUGUGACGGUAUCUUACCAGAAAGGGACGGCUAACUACGUG